rnacentral:rRNA from 1 species
GAUGAACGCUGGCGGCGUGCUUAACACAUGCAAGUCGAACGAUGAAGCCCAGCUUGCUGGGUGGAUUAGUGGCGAACGGGUGAGUAACACGUGAGUAACCUGCCCUUAACUCUGGGAUAAGCCUGGGAAACUGGGUCUAAUACCGGAUAGGAGCGUCCACCGCAUGGUGGGUGUUGGAAAGAUUUAUCGGUUUUGAUGGACUCGCGGCCUAUCAGCUUGUUGGUGAGGUAAUGGCUCACCAAGGCGACGACGGGUAGCCGGCCUGAGAGGGUGACCGGCCACACUGGGACUGAGACACGGCCCAGACUCCUACGGGAGGCAGCAGUGGGGAAUAUUGCACAAUGGGCGAAAGCCUGAUGCAGCGACGCCGCGUGAGGGAUGACGGCCUUCGGGUUGUAAACCUCUUUCAGUAGGGAAGAAGCGUAAGUGACGGUACCUGCAGAAGAAGCACCGGCUAACUACGUG